rnacentral:rRNA from 1 species
UACGUAGGGUGCGAGCGUUGUCCGGAAUUAUUGGGCGUAAAGAGCUUGUAGGCGGUUUGUCGCGUCUGCCGUGAAAAUCCGGGGCUCAACCCCGGACUUGCGGUGGGUACGGGCAGACUAGAGUGUGGUAGGGGAGACUGGAAUUCCUGGUGUAGCGGUGAAAUGCGCAGAUAUCAGGAGGAACACCGAUGGCGAAGGCAGGUCUCUGGGCUGUAACUGACGCUGAGGAGCGAAAGCAUGGGGAGCGAACAGG